UGAGGGAGGGAGCACUGUGGGUACCACAUCAUUUGUUUCCCUUGACUCUGGCGUCACAAACACAGCUUCUUGGAAUCUCAUGCCUGUUACUGGCUGUGUGAUCUGGAGCAACUGGCUUCACCUCUCUGAGCCUUUAUUUCCCACAUCUGCAAAGUGGUGCACAGUAAUACCCACGUUCCUGGCUCUGUGUAAGGAGCCAUGAGAGUGUAUUUAAAGGGCCCAGCACCCAGCUGCUCUCAGUAGAUGCUCAAGAGACAGUAACAACCCUAUCGUUAUAUGAGGUUCAAUGCAACUCAUCUGAUUCCCCUUCCAGUGGCUGGAGAACAUCCCACCUUCUGAGCCUUGGGGAGAAGCAGAGUGUGCCCUUUCCCUGCCCACUGGAGAAGCUGAAACAACAAAAACUCCCUUCCCUGGCCUCCCUGCAGGAGACUCCAGGAAGACUCCUGAAUGCCACACACUCCUAAACCUGAGAGACCUUCAUGCAGAUUGGGGAGCAGCUUUAGGACUGCUGGGUGGAGCCACAAUGAGACAGAUAAGCUCCAGGAAAAUAAGAAGUGCCGAAACAAUGGAGCCACCCAACAAAAAGGGCUGCCACUGCAAGUGGUGAGCUUCCUGUUACUGGAGGCCAUUGUCUCUCAAGCAGAACCUUAACUGAGUGUUCACAUGGCCAUUCCACCCUUCAGUUGGGCCAGCUGCUUCCAGAUGAGAGAGAGUCCAUGAUAAGACUAGCGAUUUCCACGGGCCCAAGGAUUGUAAGAAAGAUAAAUCUUCAUCUUCCAUCACAGUGAGAAAGUGGAGUUCGAAGAUGUCAUCAGCCCAGGUCACACAGAUGGUGGAGACCAGUGUGGAGCCCGGGAGUGGGCUGAGCAGAGCAUCUGGACUUUGAGCUUCCAUCAGACCCUGAGAUAGUCACCUGUCCUGGCUGCCUGGUGACCCUGGUGUGCUAACGUGGCACUUAUCUUGCUCUAUGGAGGCCCCUGGGCCCCCUAAACACCAGAACCCAGUUGCUGUGCUAAAAAGAACUCACAGACCACGUGGAGUGGAGCAGAUGGGUCAGUGUCCCAGGUGGCAGCCCGUGUCGGCCUCAGACCUGCACGUGAGGAUGCCCACCAGAGGGUUCCUGCCACCACCGUCAAGUCACCCCAGCCUUAAUCUUCCAGCCGGCGCCUCAGGCAUUAUGGGCAGAGGUAAACUGUCUCCAUGAUGCCCUUUCCAAAUUUCUGACCCACAGAAUCCAUGGCUAUAAUAAAAUGGCUGUCUUAUGUGCUCA
rnacentral:lncRNA from 1 species